GACGAACGCUGGCGGCGUGCCUAAUACAUGCAAGUCGAGCGGACUGAAGGGGAGCUGGCUCUUGUUCGGUCAGCGACGGACGGGUGAGUAACACGUGGGCAACCUGCCCGCAAGACCGGGAUAACUCCGGGAAACCGGAGCUAUGGCUGGUUAUGCCGCAACGCCGGGUGGUGUUUGGUGAAAGGGCGGGGCAGGGGGCGGGUUCGGGGCUUACCGGCUGGGCGUUGGGGAGAUGGCUCACCAAGGCCUAGACAGGUAGCCGGCCGGAGAGGGUGUCCGGCCACACUGGGACCGAGACACGGCCCACACUCCUGCGGCAGGCAGCAGUAGGGAGUCUUCCGCAAUGGGCGAAAGGCUGACGGCGCGACGCCGCGUGCGCGGAGAGGGACUUCGGGUCGUGAAGCUCUGUUGUGAGGGAGGAAGGAGCGCCGUUUGAAGAAGGCGGCGCUGUGACGGUACCUGCCGAGGAAGCCCCGGCUAACUACGUG
rnacentral:rRNA from 1 species